rnacentral:rRNA from 1 species
UGGGGAAUAUUGGGCAAUGGGCGAAAGCCUGACCCAGCAACGCCGCGUGAGGGAAGAAUGUCUUCGGAUUGUAAACCUCUGUCCUUGGGGACGAAAAAAAUGACGGUACCCAAGGAGGAAGCUCCGGCUAACUACGUGCCAGCAGCCGCGGUAAUACGUAGGGAGCAAGCGUUGUCCGGAAUUAUUGGGCGUAAAGGGUGCGUAGGCGGUCUAUCAAGUCAGAUGUGAAAUCCCCGGGCUUAACCCGGGACGGGCAUUUGAAACUGGUAGACUUGAGUAAAGAAGAGGUAAGUGGAAUUCCUAGUGUAGCGGUGGAAUGCGUAGAUAUUAGGAGGAACACCAGUGGCGAAGGCGACUUACUGGUCUUUUACUGACGCUGAGGCACGAAAGCGUGGGGAGCAAACAGGAUUAGAUACCCUGGUAGUCCACGCCCUAAACGAUGAAUGUUAGUCGUCGGGUAGCUAGUCUAUUCGGUGAUGCAGCUAACGCAUUAAACAUUCCGCCUGGGGAGUACGGUCGCAAGAUUAAAACUCAAAGGAAUUGACGG